AUGUGUGUACCUAACAGAUAUGACCAUCAAAAUUAAGGAAAAACACAAUGUAACUAAAUCUAUGAAUCCAUAUCUGCAAUAAUGUGGGAUGGAAUACCAAGCAUUGAUUCCACUAGAAAAACCAUGCAUAUAUCUCUAAGCUGUGCUACUUGUAUUCAGUUAUGUGGAUAUGCAAAAUUCCAUAGAUUUUAAAUUGGAGUGUAAAUUUAAUUGGCUAGUUUGGAACUCAUUUUAAAUUUAUUCGCAUUUAACUUAUUUAUCAAACUUGUAAGCUAAAUUCGUAUUUAACUUAUUUAUCAAAUUUUUAAACUCAA
rnacentral:misc_RNA from 1 species